UAUCACAUAGAUAUUUUAUGGGAUGUAAUUGCUUCAAAUAGUAUCUGCAUGUAACAUUUUUCGAUGCAGCAAGCUAUUCAUAAAAAUAUGUCUUCAGAUGAUUCCGGCAAUUUUCAGUAUAACUAGAUUAAACACAUUUUACAUAGUCUCAAUUAAGUAAUCAGUCUUGUUCCAGCAUAUAAAUUAAUCCUAAAGUAAUAGAUAUUUUUCUUCUUUUUUUAACAUUCCCAACCACCUAGCUGGAUUUGAGUAUGUUGGGACACAAUUCUAUUAAGAAAUACUACAUGGAUUGCAUUUCUCAUUCAUUUUAUUUAUUAAAAGCUACAAACUAUAGUAAUCCAUUGCUUUUCUAUUUCUCCUAAUCUACUAUGAAGUGAAUCUAGCCAAAUCAUUGUCCAAAUAAGCAAAGAACUUGGAGCAAGAAUAACUAUCAAAUAGAAAAUUAAAUUCACAUCAAUGAAAUCAGUAAUUGCAUCCUGUUAGUAAUUACAUCAUGACAUAAUAAUAACUAAUAAUUUAGCAUAGUGAUUGGGAAAUUGUGAAAACAUUCUGAAAAAGGAAAUUACAAACUGUUUCUCUAGAAAUAAAAAUACAUGGAAGUGCCCAUGAAUUUGUUGAAUUUAGUCAAUUAUAUUAUUAAACUUGGUAACUUCUACAUGUUUGGGCUUUCAGUUUCCAUUGAUCUCAGCCAGUGUGGACAGUGGAAAAGGAUUCUGAAAAUUGUAGCCUAAACCAUCUAGACAGCAUCAGAUUAUUCAUCCCUGCUCUGGUCCAUCCAUAGCAGAUGUACAAGAAUUCACUUAGCAUAGCAAUUGCAGCUUUAGAGAAUACUCCAAGUGAGCAGUUUUUUCUGAAGUCUAAAUUUAUACUAAUAUUCUUGCUUUUCUAGUGUGAAUCCUUAAGUUCCUUAGUAUCCAUUAGGGAAUCAUCAUUGCACUCAGCCUGGCACUCAGGCAAAUCAGUCACUAACAGGUAUAUAGAGAUGAAAAACAUCUAUAUGCCAUUCAAAAGAGACAAAAAGCCAAAAAGAAAACAAAAGACCAAAACAUCUCCUCAACCAGCUAUCAAACCCAAAUGAGCAGAGAUUAACACCAAAAUUAAUAUUAAAUCAGUGGUGGGAUUCAAAUAUGUGAUCAACCGGUUCUCUGUGCGGAUGCCCCUUCCAGAAGUCUAUUCUGGGCCUGGGCAACAAAAAAUUAGCUACUGGUUCUGUCGAAGUGGUGCGAACCAGGUGAAUCCCUUCACUGUAUUAGAUCAGCAAUCAAGAAGUAAAUAAUACCUCAAUCAAGCAACUACCAACUCAGACAAACAAGCUAAUAGCAAGCAGCAGCCUAAUCAAGGAAGACCAUCCACCAAGACCAUCCACAUCAAAACUGGCUGGUCCCUUCUACAAUAAUGAUUUUACCUAGUUUGGUAAUGAAAUGUCUGCAUGAAAAUAACCAAGCUCAGAGAGUACCAAGGUCCCCACAGUUCAACCCUGAGCUACAAAUAUUCUCUUCCAUCAGUAUCUCAGGUUUCUUACCAUUGGGUAUGCUCUUAAUGCUUCAGACCAAUCAGGCAUGAGAUAGGUAUCUGAGAGGGGAGGGUACCAAUGCAGAUUGCCAAUCAUUAUUCUUAGGUUCAGUAUCAGGAAUUGGAUUCUAUUUUUCAGCUGAUAAGAGUAGUGGCCCUGAAUCUAAUUGCUUCCACUUUCUCUAACUAACUCAUUGGUUUCAUUACUGGAUUUUCCCUUCAGCUUCAUCCUUUCUGCCAGAAACCCAUGAAAAGGUAAUAUAUUUCCAAACAUUUUGUUCUUAUUUGCAGAGUUGUUGGCAAAUGUUAAAUCAAAUUCCUCUACAUAGAUGUUGACUCUGAGGUGUACCUCUCUUAUGAAUCCUCAGAAAUAAGCAAUUAUCUUCCACCCAGCUCUUCUCAGUUGCCCUUUUUUGGCUUUCUCUAAUGCUACCUUGCAUGAAGCAUAUCUCAGAAUUAAGUCCGAAAACCUCCCAUUUGUUGAAGAAAACAUUUUCAAAGAAAAUGAAAUUAGGAAUGCAAAAAUGUUGCAUUUAACUAGGAAAAAAGUCAGUGAACCACUGACUGAUUUCUUCUACGAAGCUACUUCUAUACAAUUUACAUUUGACAUUUGAAUUAAAGCUCUAGUUCUGUAUAGUAUAUGCCUAUUUCAAGAUUAAAUGUAUAUAGUAUAUGCUAAAUAAUUUAACCACAUUUAAAACCUUUAAGGAGGGACAGGAAAAAAAGAUCAGACCAGAAGAAAUGCAAAGUUAUUCUCAAAUUAAUUACUCAUAGUUCUUAAAUCUUUCUGGAAAUACAGGACAGAAUGAAGCUUUUUAUGCAUAAAUAAUAUGCAAAUAUCCUCCAGACUAUUCUAAUAAAAAAAAAAUGGAAAUGAAAUAGAUGACAAUCUGUAAACUGCAUGAGUAAGUCAAAUUCUAUCAAUAGCUAUUAGAAUCCUAGUUUAUUGGAGCAAAGCUAAAUUUGCCAGGGUUAAGCAAUGAUAAACCAUUAUUAGUUGAAAACUGGAGCAUUGUUUUUACCAUUUUCUUGCAUCCAUGUCAUAGGAGGAAAAUAGUAGAGGAGGUACAAGUAUGUGCACUUAUUUCUACCAAGCAUAAUAAGUAAAAUUACAUGUAUUGGCCCCAGUUAAAGGUGCAUUCAAUUCUUGGCUUCUGUGCCAAGAAAAGCUAAAUUGUACAAAACACAUUUGCUUCUAUUGGCUUGCUGAUUUUGCCUUAUAUAGGGAAAAAAACCCAAGAGUACUGUCAUCUUGAUGGCUAUAAAUGCUAGAUGUCUGUAUUUUAUUAUAUAUCAGGUAUACCACAAUUUUUUUAACUCUUUCUGUUGAAUUAAGUCCCAACCCCCUCCCCCCCAAAAAAAGAUCAGAGGUGGAAAGGAAGUAUACCCUGGAGUUAAGUGGAACCGUUCAGGUUGUCAGUUCCAUUUAACUUAGGUAGGCUGAGGGGGACUGUCAUCUGAAUGCUUACCCUAAUCCAGUGAUUCUCAACCUUUCUAAUGCCGUGACCCCAUAAUACAGUUCCCCAUGUUGUGGUGAUCCCCCAAGUGGGUGUGGCCACCAAUAAGAGGGAGUAGGACAGCUAGGGAAAAGGGAAAAAAAUGGCGGACAGCAUGGUUUGGCGACCCCCGUGAAAUGUCAUUCGACCCCAAAUGGGGUCCCGACCCACAGGUUGAGAACCACUGCCCUAAUCCAUCUUACACCCAACAUAUUUCAGUCUUGUUUUAUCAUUCUCUUUCAUUACAGUUUAUUAGAUUGUGCUCUUUUGAUUCUACAUGUAUAACACAGAAAGCAGAGGUGGGUAAGUGAAACAGGACAUAGGAAAUAGGAAACAGCAACUGUGCUUCUCUUUCCUUGAUGGCCGAAGUGUCACUUUUCAAUGCAUACUCAAGUAGGAAAAAAUUAUAGGGAUAAAUAUUACUUGGUAUUAUGACAUAUGAUGGAAGAAGUAACACGGAAUAGGGAAUAAGCAAAUAAAAGAAUCAAGAAAUUGCUUCCAGAAUUAUUCAGCUGUUCCAUCUCUUUUAGCUUAGACAACAGGUUUGUAUUUUAGAUAACAUCAUUUUAAGACAUUUAUGUAAGCAGAUGAAAUCAUACAUACAAUCACAUGCAAAAUAAGAAUUGUUUUGUUCAUCUAGGAGACAAUGUACUUUUACUGUCCUUUACUGUUUAUUGCUUCUUAUUAUUGCUAAAACACCACAUUUCUGAACACCAUAUCAGAAGGGCACUCUGGCUAGGCAGCCACCAGCCCUAAUUGUAAUUUGGAAAUAUUUGGAUAGUCUAAAGGACUAUCCAGCAAGCUUCAGUUUUUAAAUCUUUUUUAAAUUUUGUUCUAUGAUUUUGAUACCAUGAUCUUUGCUAUGGAUUAAUAUUUUUGAUCACUAACUUAUGUCUCUCAUUUAAAAUACAUUGUAGCCACAAUUAAUCAUUGUUAGGCUUACCUAAUUAGGUAAGCAUGUUAUUUAAAAUUCUUCCCAGAAAUAAAUAUAUUAAUUUGGAUCAUACAUUUAAGGUGUUUGUCCUCUGAGAAGAUCAUAGAAAACACAGGCUGAAGUUCACAUAAUGGAAGAAAAUAAAAUUUCUAGUUAUUUUAAAGGAAAACUGUCCCUAAAUUUAAAGCUCUUAUCUUAAAAAACAUUGCUGAUUGUCUUUCAUCAUGUUCUGGCAUACUUUUUUUAGUUGUUCAUUCAAAAAAGGGUUAAAAGAAAGCUACUUGUUACUCUUUUAUAUAUACUGCUCAAAAAAAUAAAGGGAACACAAACGCAUAGGAUCUUAUACAUUUGUGUUCCCUUUAUUUUUGUGAGAAGUAUAUUUAGAGUCAGUCAUAUUGAAACAUCAUAAAAACUAUCCUUUUUAAAUAAAUACUUGAGAAGCAGAAGCUCCAGCAUUUAAAUCCCAUCCUUCUCAUCCUCAGUGGUACAAAACUCACCAAGGGUCCCUGUAUUACCCAACAGCUAAACAAGUUAUCUGCUCUGCUGUGGUCCAGGAUUCAACUCUUCCAUUAGUUACGGUAAAAGAUAAAGGAAUCCUCAUGGGUUUUACUCCAUUAGUUGUAGCUGAAUUUUAGGGGGCAGCGCUCAUCUCCUUUUCUUUAAACUAUUGAACCAGCAUUGUCCCAAGAUGUUUCCAUGGUCAUGUGUCCAGCAUGACACCAUGCUACAGUCCGAAGUAUACUAUGGAAUAUGGAGCACUGUUACCUUCCCACUGAUGUGGUAUCUAUUUAUCUACUUGCAUUUGCAGGCUUUCAAACUGCUAGGCUGGCAGGAGCUGAAACAAAUGAUAGGAGCUCAGUCCAUCACACAGUGGUAAGACUCAAACUGUCUGAGUGUAGACCUUUGGCAGCAUCUUUUAAACCACUUAGCCACUAUGCCUCCCAUUCAUUAGUUAACCCUAGUGAUAAUCCAACUGUCUUUCUACCAUAACAUCACUGAAAAGUGCUACCGGUAAUUAAUCUUUGACUACCUGACCUUUUUUACUUUCCUGCAAGAUUACAUCUUUUGCUCAUGUACAAAUUUUACAUAGUAAUGUCUGGAAAGGGGGCAUGAGAGAGAGCAGAACCCUAAAUUACUUGUCUAAUUGCAAUAUCAACCUAUAGAACAAUGGCCCCCAACCUUUUUGGCACCAGGGACCAUGGAGAAAGAUUUUUCUGCGUAUUGGAGGGGGUGUGGUUUCGUGUGCUGCCUGCAUCCCACAGAUGGGGCUUCACUUGUUUGCAUGGCAUGGACCAGGGAUUGGGGAUCCUGUUAUAGAAAACCCAAUCCACAUUUUAUUUUACUUGUAAGUCUUUCAACUUUGCUACUAAAAUAUAUCUUCCAUAGUGAACUAUUAAAUCAUAUUUUGUGAAACUCAAAUUAGAAGAAGUUACUUGCUUCUCGCAAAUAUAAUUGGACUAAUGUCUCCUUUAUUUCACAUCAAAAGAGCAAUCUGUAAAGAUUGCAUACAAAGAUAAUUCCUUGUGACUCCUGGACUAUACCCUAGAUGUCCAGAAUUAAUUCCCACCAACCAUAGAACAGUCUGUUGCUCUGCUUAAUAUUUAAUCUCAUCUGUUGACAACCAUCAUUCAACACCAGGUUAUGGAAUUGUGAGGAUAUUCUCUAGAUACAUUUACCUAUUUUGGAACAAUGAGAUCUGUAAAUAAAAAAAAAUCCAUUAGCACACAACAAAGCACACAGGAUAGAGGGUAUAAUUUCUCUCUACUGCCACAGCUUCCUUCUGCCUAUCAAAUCUGUCUAAACUGGCCCCAUGAGGAUAUAUAGAAAACAUAUCUUUUUGUCAAUCUUAAAUGUCUUGCCAUCUAAUUUCAUUAGAUAACCUCAGUUUCUAUGAGAUAUUGUGUUCUUGGUGCUUUCUGAGCUUGCUUUUUCUCCUGCAAACUUUUCAUUGCCAAGAUAGGUAAUAUUCAGUCCAAGAAGUCCAGGUGUAUAAUGAGAAUGGAUAUGCUGGGGUCUUUUGUUCUCUCCUUGAUCUUUGGCUUAAUCACUUUUUCAAAAUGUUUUUUGUUUUUUUUUUUUUUUUUUUUUUUUUUUUGUAGAUGAAGGCUAUCUUAGGAGGGAGUGAGAGGAUAAAAAAAAUAUAUCCACUUUCCCCAUUCCAGAGUUCAUGUUUUCUCUGGCAAUCUUGUUAUAUUUUUCUAAAUUAAAAAUAACCCAAUAUAUGUGUAUGCCUAUUUGUAUAGCAGAGUUGCUCUAUUCCUCUGUUUUGAUUUUCCUAUUUGUAGAUGUUUUAUUGUUUAAAUUUACAAUUUAGAAACUAUCUAGCCUGUGGCUAUGAAAACACUGCACACAGCAGUGAGUUCUGGAAAUUAAACAUGGGGUCAUUUUUGUUCCUGUCAGCUAGCUGAUUUACUGGUUUUUAUAAUUCUAGCUCUUUCAUACCUUCAGAUGCUUUGUUCUGCUAUUGAAAGAAGAAAGGGAGAAAGACGCAUCAAAGCCUCCUUAGAAGCUGCUGGAUGUUAUUUGGGCAGAGAUAUUAAUGGCUGAAGACCUGUACACCCAUCGGUGAGCGGAGCAGUUCCUGAAAGGCUGAGAGAUAAGUCCUUCAACAUGCUCUGGUCUGCGAGCACUGUUCCUUCAGUCGGAAGCGACCCACCCAUGGCUGAAUCAUCCAGCAUGUCUCUUUGAGUCGCACCGGACUCUGGAGAUCGAGAUGCACUGCCGCUGUCAGAUGAUGAAGAUGGAAGAUGAUCAAUCAGUCCUUCAAACUGUGCACCAGCCCAGUUCUAUUGCCAAGCCACUGCAACUGAGAGUAGAAGUGUUAAAGUCAAUCAGAAUAUUAGUAUAUUAUUGCUAGUUGGAAAAACAUAAUCUCUUUGCCAUGAUCUUAAUAAAAGGUUUCUCUCUGGAGCUCUUCCUUCAUUGCAAGAACUUCCAACUGAAACAUUGUAUGAACAUGGAUGACUGCAGGGGGAACAAGGGGAGAAGUCACAUGAUGGAUAUCAUUACACAAAGAAGUGAAUCAUCAAAUUUUCAUUGUGAGUAAUGAGGUAAUACACAUGAUGUCUACUAAUCAGCUUCUAAGAAAUUAGCAUCAACUUUGAAACUGGUAUUAUUAAAUAAGUUAUUCAUAGUUUAAUGGCACUAAGUAAAAGCUCUUUUCAAUAACAUUAAAACUAUUAGAAUCACAUAUGUUAUAUAAAAAUAUAUAAAUAUUGCAGCUGCAUUGGGAAGAAAGAAAAGGGAUUUAGGGACAUGGAUAUGUCAGUCUGAACUCUCUGAAUAAGACUGAUAACACCAAUGCAGAAUAGACCUGUUCAGAGACAAAGUUUCUCUUCCUGUUAAUUUGCAGGGGAAUCUUUUGCAACCUACUGGCCAGGUCUGUUGGCCAUAUAAUUUUUUGGAUCUGCAAAAAAUCUGGCUGGCUUAUCAAAUAUUUCUGGUAUUGUAACCACUAUCGAAUAAAUCACAGAUGGUGGGGUUUCCAAAACAUAUUAAACUAUAAACCAUGAUUUGCCAAAUAGUCUGGGCUCAUAUAACAUACUAAAUACAAAUAAAAACACAUUCCAUGAGACCUUCCAGAUGACCAACAUUUUAAUUGUACAAAUGUUCUUAUUGAAAGGAAGCAAGGGCUCUAGCAGACUCUUCUGUUAAGUAACUAAGACUGCAAGCUUAGAUAACCAUCACCACCCCACACACACACACACUAGUCUUUCCCAGAAGAAUAGGGAGUUCUGAUCAAAACAGGGCUCAUUUUCUAGUCAGUAAGGAUUAGUGUAUGUUGAUUUAUCCACCUUCCUCAUUUUGAUGCCCUGAAAAAUUCCUUUAUGUUGGAAAACAGUUUUUGUGGUUGUUGGACUGAGGAUUUGUUUUUUUAUGUUACUUUGUAUUAUGAACUACCAAAGGUUGUGAUUCCUAAUAUGGACAUGUCUUUUAAAUAAAUAUAAAUAAAAUCCUGGCUAUAACACCAUCCUGAAAUUAAAGGUACUUUAUGGGCAGAAAGGUAAACUUUAAGUCUAAUAAUGAUCACAGCAACAAUAAUAACAAUUAUAAUAAUGCAGUUGGAGAAGCUAGACCACAAGGACAUUGUCCUAAACUUUGUUUGCUGUGUGCUAUGUCUGAUGGUGUUCUAGUUGUGUUUAUGAUUAAUAGUUGACAGGAACUUUGUCCCUGCAACAUGCAAGAAAAUUUGCCUUUUGUUUAAUCAAGAGCUCUUAAGAAACUCCCUCUCCUUGCUGCCUUUUUUCUCCAUACACAUGGAAUGCUUAUUAAAGCUGACAGAUUAGAUUAAAAAUCUCCCUCUACCACCUUCCUCUGUUUUAAGAGGCAUGGAAAAUAUCCUAUCUCCUUUUCCACUACUUAGAAGUUGAUUAGAACAGAAGAGAAGACUAUUCCCAUUAUCUUGAGAGAAAAGCCUAUACUUCCCGCUCCCCAUAAAAUUUGCAUCAGCCACAUUUGCCAACAAUCGAUCUGAUCACCAUUUUUAUCUCAACAAGGGCUACUGUUUAAGCAACUGCUUCCCCCCACACCACCAAUGAAAGAAAGGCAGCCUAUCAUUGCUAAUUGCUCUGCAGUAUUUCUCCAAUGUGAGAAGUGUCAAAGGUUGAAGUACCAGAAAAAAUAUUUUUUAAGAUCCACCUUACCUCUGCAAUUCCAGGCUAUUAAUAUUGAUUUAUGUACAAAACUGUUGUAAAAGUUUACAACAGGUAAUAGAAAUGCAGACUUUGUUCUUUGGGGGCAAAAUUGAUUAGCAUGUGUAUUAUUGGCAAUGAUAAUGCAAUAGGUUAGCUACUGACUAUAAUGUACUACAAGAAAGAUAGCCCACUUGUGUUGAAGCUGUCCAUCUGAGGAUUAAAGUAAGUGGAAUGGAAAUGGGUGUUUUUGGUUGCCUUGCACUGGCAAACUUCAGGUCUGCUGGAUUGCAAAUCCAGAAUUCUUGGCUAGGCCACAUUGGCUGGAAAUUAUAGAUGUGAAUGUAACCAAGAAAGGUUGCUAAAUUCACUGUAAAUAAAUCCCAUUGAUUUUAAUGGAUCUUCCUUCUGGAUAGGUAGGUAUAGGAUUGUACCAAGAAUUACUGCAACAUUUUCUUAUAGCUGACAAUGCUUGUUCGUUUUAUAUAUAUAUAUAUAUAAGACCCUGCUGCUCUUGUACUUCCAUUUUAUGAUGCUCAGCAACGAGGCCAGGAAUGGUGUCUGUACAGGUUAAAUCUGUAUAUCAUGCAGAAUUGUAUAGGAUUCUUAUGUACAAUGGUGUAGCACUAUUCUGAAAGAGCACUAAACCUGUUUUAAAUAUAUGUUUAAAAGUUUCCACUGUUUUUGUCAAGACCUUUUCAAUUGCUUGUUUUUAUAAUUUGGGGAUAUUGGGAGGCUGAAGUGUUUUGUCUAUUCCAUUUUGAGCUCUCCAUGGGUUACCAACAAGAGCAAUAUCUCCUUAAGUUUCCUGAUUCAUCCCAUACCAGUAACAGGUACAUUCCUGGCACUGAAUUCAGAUGAAGGAGAAAGUGCUUUUCCAAUGUAUCAGUUAAAUUUCCUCCUGUUUCAGCCUAUACUUUCUGGUGUCUGUGUGACUGAUUAAACUGACUUUGUGUAUAUGGGUAUAGCACCCUUAAAAAUCAUGUUUAAACAGAAAGCUCUAGUGCUUUUCCAGAAGACUGAUAAAGUAAUCUUCAGAAACAGGAAGAGUGGCCAGUCCACAGAAAAAGUAUCUCCACACCUAAGAUCCAUUACUCUUUCCUAUUACUCAAACAACUUCUUAUGUGGUGAAACUCUUUACCCCAGACAUCUGGCCAUAGUCAUUAAAAACCCACUCCUCUACACAUUAAAGAGAGUGAUUGGUGGCUGCUGGUUUUUUUUUUCUCCUGACAAGUGAUAUUGAGAAAUGAAAUAAAAGAAUCCACCAAUUGCUGCCCUUAAAUCUGCAAGGCAAAUUAGACUUUUGCCAUCAAAACACUGGAUUUUUUGCAGACAUACUUUUCUUGUAUAGGAAGACAGCACCUCCCUCCCCCAGAGAAUGAAAUAUUUUGGGGAAUAUUAAAAAGGCAGAAUAUUAUAUUUCCCCAAAGGAUCUUAAAGCCAGAAAAGCAGGCCCAGUUUUUCUUAAUAGUCCCAGGCAGAGGUCAGCUCUGUAGAAAUGCAGAUUUGAUAAUCCCAUUCAGAAAGACUGAGGCCCUAUUCAUGAGCAAAUAUUACCUGUAGAAACCCAUUCAAGACAGGAUCUUUUGAAAUCCUUUGGGCAAGAUUUGAUAGCUAACAACAGCAGAGUGAUAGGAUUAGAACCAGUAACCCCUCGCCCAAAAAAAUCCUACACAGGAGUAAGCCAUCAGCCACAGC